rnacentral:rRNA from 1 species
GAUGAACGCUGGCGGCGUGCCUAAUACAUGCAAGUCGAGCGAACAGACGAGGAGCUUGCUCCUCUGACGUUAGCGGCGGACGGGUGAGUAACACGUGGAUAACCUACCUAUAAGACUGGGAUAACUUCGGGAAACCGGAGCUAAUACCGGAUAAUAUAUUGAACCGCAUGGUUCAAUAGUGAAAGACGGUUUUGCUGUCACUUAUAGAUGGAUCCGCGCCGCAUUAGCUAGUUGGUAAGGUAACGGCUUACCAAGGCAACGAUGCGUAGACGACCUGAGAGGGUGAUCGGCCACACGGGAACUGAGCCACGGUCAAGACUCCUACGGGAGGCAGCAGUAGGGAAUCUGACGCAAUGGGCGAAAGCCUGACGGAGCAACGCCGCGUGAGUGAUGAAGGUCUUCGGAUCGUAAAACUCUGUUAUUAGGGAAGAACAAAUGUGUAAGUAACUAUGCACGUCUUGACGGUACCUAAUAAGAAAGCAACGGCUAACUACGUG